UUGCAGUUAAAAAGCUCGUAGUUGGAUUUGUGGUGCUCCCUGUGGUCCGAUUUCGGUACUUUCGGGGAGUGCCAUCCUUGGGUGGAUCCUGUGUGGCAUUAGGUUGUCGCGCUGGGGAUGCCCAUCGUUUACUGUGAAAAAAUUAGAGUGUUCAAAGCAGGCUUACGCCGUUGAAUAUAUUAGCAUGGAAUAAUGAGAUAGGACCUUGGUACUAUUUUGUUGGUUUGCGCACCGAGGUAAUGAUUAAUAGGGACAGUUGUGGGUAUUCGUAUUCCAUUGUCAGAGGUGAAAUUCUUGGAUUUCUGGAAGACGAACUAAUGCGAAAGCAUUUACCAAGGAUGUUUUCAUUAAUCAAGAACGAAAGUUAGGGGAUCGAAGAUGAUUAGAUACCAUCGUAGUC
rnacentral:rRNA from 1 species